UACGUCCCGUUUUUUCGAAAAUGGGUUCUAUUUCCACACCGUGUUUACAUACCUUUGUUGCUUUGGCAGGCCGCCAUUCGGCGUCGGCUCCGGCUGACUGCGCCUGCCAGAGGACCCCAACUCUUCUGUUUAGUAUUGUCUGAGUACUAUAUAAUAGUUAAAACUUUCAACAACGGAUCUCUUGGUUCUGGCAUCGAUGAAGAACGCAGCGAAAUGCGAUAAGUAAUGUGAAUUGCAGAAUUCAGUGAAUCAUCGAAUCUUUGAACGCACAUUGCGCCCCUUGGUAUUCCGAGGGGCAUGCCUGUUCGAGCGUCAUUAUAACCACUCAAGCCUCGGCUUGGUCUUGGGGUCCGCGGUCUCGCGGCUCCUAAAUCCAGUGGCGGUGCCGUCUGGCUCUAAGCGUAGUAAUUCUCUCGCUAUAGGGUCCCGGCGGUUGCUUGCCAAAACCCCCCACUUUCUAUGGUUGACCUCGGAUCAGGUAGGGAUACCCGCUGAACUUAAGCAUAUCAAUAAGCGGAGGA
rnacentral:rRNA from 1 species